UAAGGAAUAUUGGUCAAUGGGCGCAAGCCUGAACCAGCCAUGCCGCGUGCAGGAAGACGGCCCUACGGGUUGUAAACUGCUUUUGUACCGGAAUAAACCUUUUCACGUGUGAGAAGCUGAAUGUACGGUAAGAAUAAGGAUCGGCUAACUCCGUGCCAGCAGCCGCGGUAAUACGGAGGAUCCAAGCGUUAUCCGGAUUUAUUGGGUUUAAAGGGUGCGUAGGCGGUUCUUUAAGUCAGGGGUGAAAGACGGUAGCUUAACUAUCGCAGUGCCUUUGAUACUGAAGAACUUGAAUACACUUGAGGUAGGCGGAAUGUGACAAGUAGCGGUGAAAUGCAUAGAUAUGUCACAGAACACCAAUUGCGAAGGCAGCUUACUAAAGUGUCAUUGACGCUGAGGCACGAAAGCGUGGGGAUCAAACA
rnacentral:rRNA from 1 species